rnacentral:tRNA from 1 species
GGGGAUGUAGCUAAGUGGUAGAGCACUUGCCUGGCAAGUGGAAGGCCUGGGUUCAAUCCCUAGUACUGUUU